GAUGAACGCUAGCGGCAGGCCUAACACAUGCAAGUCGAGGGGUAACUAGAGUGAUAGCAAUAUUACUUUGGCUAGACCGGCGCACGGGUGCGUAACACGUAUGCAACCUACCUUAUACUGGGGAAUAACUUCGAGAAAUCGGCGCUAAUAGCCCAUAACAUUGCGAAGAGGCAUCUCUUUGCAAUUAAAGCUCCGGCGGUAUAAGAUGGGCAUGCGUCCAAUAAGCUAGUUGGUGAGGUAACGGCUCACCAAGGCUACGAUUGGUAGGGGUUCUGAGAGGAUGAUCCCCCACACUGGUACUGAGACACGGACCAGACUCCUACGGGAGGCAGCAGUGAGGAAUAUUGCGCAAUGGACGAAAGUCUGACGCAGCCAUGCCGCGUGCAGGAUGACGGCCCUAUGGGUUGUAAACUGCUUUUGUACGGGAAUAAACCCUUCUACGUGUAGGAGGCUGAAGGUACCGUAAGAAUAAGCACCGGCUAACUCCGUGCCAGCCGCCGCCGUAAUAC
rnacentral:rRNA from 1 species